UUACGAGGUCAGGACACUGUGAGGAUUGACAGAUUGAAAGCUCUUUCUUGAUUCAGUGGGUGGUGGUGCAUGGCCGUUCUUAGUUGGUGGAGUGAUUUGUCUGGUUAAUUCCGUUAACGAACGAGACCUUAACCUGCUAAAUAGUCACGCGAACCGGUCCGUAAGGGCUCAAAGUUCGCGGCUCGACUUCUUAGAGGGACUAUUCGCACCCGCCAGCGAAUGGAAGUUUGAGGCAAUAACAGGUCUGUGAUGCCCUUAGAUGUUCUCGGCCGCACGCGCGUUACACUGACGGAGUCAACGAGCGUUUUUCCUUGCCCGAUAGGGCUGGGUAACCUCCUGAAACUCCGUCGUGAUGGGGAUAGAUCAUUGCAAUUAUUGAUCUUGAACGAGGAAUUCCUAGUAAGCGCGAGUCAUCAACUCGCGCUGAUUACGUCCCUGCCCUUUGUACACACCGCCCGUCGCUCCUACCGAUUGAACGGUCCGGCGAGAACUCCGGAUGGUC
rnacentral:rRNA from 1 species